rnacentral:ncRNA from 1 species
AAUCGACGCGUAUUCAGAGACCAUGAAAGGCGUUGGUUGCUGAUGACAGCAGGACGGUGGCCAUGGAAGUCGGAAUCCGCUAAGGAGUGUGUAACAACUCACCUGCCGAAGCAACUAGCUCUGAAAAUGGAUGGCGCUGGAGCGUCGUGCCUAUACUCGGCCGUCGACGGCAUAGUGGGGCCAGUCGUCGCUCGCGGCGGCCGGUCCCGGCAAGCCUCGACGAGUAGGAUGGCGCGGCGGUGUGCGUCGAAGGGCAGGUCGCGAGACCGCCUGGAGCCGCCGUCGGUGCAGAUCUUGGUGGUAGUAGCAAAUACUCGAGAGGGGCCCUCGGGGGCUGCCGUGGAGAAGGGUUUCUUGUGAACAGCCGUUGUCCAAGAGUCAGUCGAUCCUAAGCCCGGGGAGAGAUCCUCGUACCACGGGCGAAGGCGUUUUCGAAUCGCCCUUGGGGCGAGAGGGAAUCCGGUUCGUAUUCCGGAACCCGACGCGGAACCGCUCCCUAGUGUUCGGGGCUCUUUUGUCUCGUCUGGGUAACCAGAAUGAACUCGAAGAAGCCGCCGGGGGAUCUGGGUAGAGUUCUCUUUUCUCUGUGAGCGUUGUACGUCCCUGGAAUCCUCUAGCCGGGCGAUAGGGGACGCGAGCGCGAAGAGCACCGCUCGUUGCGGCGGUGUCCGUGAUCCCCACGCGGACCUUGAAAAUUCGAGAGAGGGCCACGCGGAGUCUUCGCGUCGGUUCGUACCGAUAUCCGCAGCAGGUCUCCGAGGUGAGCAGCCUCUAGCCGCAUAGAAUAAUGUAGGUAAGGGAAGUCGGCAAAACCGAUCCGUAACUUCGGGAUAAGGAUUGGCUCUGAGGAGCGUGGCUGCCGGGUUCGGGUCGUCGUAGAAGCGUAGGCGUUUUUGGCGACACCCCGGCCGUCGCCCGUGCGCCCGGUCUUCGGAACGGGAGCCUCGAGGCGGCCGCGGGCCCGUCGCCGUCCGCCGACCGUGGAACCACCGAGCUUCGGUCGCUGGCCGCGUCGCGGCCGGCCGACCGCCUUGGUGUCGGUUCGCCGUCACCGGGCGGUCCGGCCGCCGCGCCGUCGGUCGCGUAGCCGGAUCGACAGCCAUGUAACGGUCAACUCAGAACUGGCACGGACCAGGGGAAUCCGACUGUCUAAUUAAAACAAAGCAUCGCGAUGGCCCGGGACGGGUGUUGACGCGAUGUGAUUUCUGCCCAGUGCUCUGAAUGUCAACGUGAAGAAAUAUCAAGCAAGCGCGGGUAAACGGCAGGAGUAACUAUGACUC